rnacentral:pre_miRNA from 1 species
GUUGAGGGGAAUGUUGUUUGGCUCGAGGUCAUGUAGAUAUCCGAUAUACAUGAAUCCUCGAUCUCAAGUAUGUUGGCUGGGAUAUCUAAGUGAUCUCGGACCAGGCUUCAUUCCUCUCAAC